GUUCCUUCUUGCUUAUGUCCUUACUCUCAUCGACCAUAAGUGCAAACAUCCCAUUGUCCCGUACUUCGCAACUGAUUUGAUCCCUUGUCAUAUUGGCCAUCAACUCAAUGAUCUCAGGGGAUGGGAGUCAUGGGAGCCGGCUCACUGGGCGAAGCGCUAUUAUGUUCGUCGUCUUUGUCCAGUUGCUGCUGACAGGAUGGCUCGGUGGGAGACAGCGGGAGAGGUUCUUCUCCUAAAAAAUCUAAAUCGUUUUCUCAGAUUCCUCGGGUCCACGUUUUAAAACCUUUAAGGUCGGGUUGGAGUCCCAGAGAAAGGACCAACUGACUUUGACUUUGGUUGGAGUCCCGACGUGGGUACCAGAGACUGUUGAUCUGAUCUUUGCACUUCCUAAAAUGCUUUUUUUAACUUUGCCUUUAUUUUCUAUAUUUUCUGCAUGUUUUCUUUAACUUAUCUAUUAUUUUAUUUUUUUAAUUGUAUGACAAUGUUUAUAUGCACUUUGAGUCUGCCGUGUGCAUGAAAAGUGCUAUAUAAAUAAAGUUGCCUUGCCUUGCCUAUCUGUCGUCGGCACCACCCUAAUUAUUCUCCAUUAAUUUGUGUUAUUUUAUUUUUGAACUGGAAACUCCGGUAGGCUAUUAUUAGAUUAGGCUGUUAUUCUAACUGUCGCUAGGGAACGUUUAGACCCGUUUGCAAUUUGGCGGUGGUGCCUCUGUGGUGUUCCUCGAGGCGGUGGUGCCUCGUGGCAGCAGGCAGACGGGGCUCCGGUGGGAGACAAUCGCGGGAAAGAAUCCCUUUCUCCUCCUUGUCGCGGUUCAUGUACUUCAGGGAGUCAAAGCCAAAGUUCCUUUCCCCCCAAUUCCUUCUCAACCAUGGCUGAGAUAACCCCCACUAUGAGUCUCGUUGUGGAAAUACCAGAGACGUCAGAGAGUAUUCGACGUGUUAUGCGCCAUAAGACCAACAGAAGAACAGUUAUCCAAAUAAUAGGCGUAGCUCAUUGUCUCAUUAGCGGGCCAAAUUCUCUGGGUGGGCAAAGCAGAGAAAGAGAGGUAGCAUGUCCCCGUAUGACGACUAGGGUUGAGCACCGAAACUCGUAAACGGUUGAAACGAGAUUGAAUAAGAACGCACCUUUCGGUGCCUCAUAACGGGGCCUGAGUAAGUCGUGUAAUUUAAUGGCAACCGUAAAUCUUGCAUAUCAAGCAGGCUAGCAAACCGUUGCCAUUCAACUCAGUGUCCGCUGACUUUCUGCUUAAUGUGAAACUCAUAACAAGUCGUGCAUGUAUGCAAGUGUGUGCAGUUUCGUUUUUUUAAGUACCGGUUCGAGAACCGUUUUAGCACUGGAACCCUUUGAAAAGUAGAGAGUAGGCACCGGUAUCGGAUAAAACCCAAAUGAUACCCGACCCUAAUGACAAGAUACGGGGAAAAAUUCCAAAUCUGCGCAUCUCAGCUCUGUUUUUUCAAAGGCAGAGCAGAGGGGUAUCCCAUCAACCAAGCUAAAGGCAAAGCCGGGCUUAUUUCGCUUAGCCUCACUACUUUCAGCUAGAAUUGCGUUCCAUCAACGUGGCUCAAGGGAAUCUCCGCUAAGUAACCAUGGCAAUUUAUCUGACCAAACUAACCUGUUUCAGAGAAGUCCCAUCGGUCGGCAAAAAGUGUACCAUCAGAAGGUUCCGCCAAGCCUAGUCCUCACGAUUUUAUAAAUGCACAUAUAUGAAGUACAAACAGCGUAUAUUUGCACUAAGGG